CUCGCCGGCGCAGGAGAGCGCACGCGCCACGCGUGCCACCGAAGGCGCAAACUCCCAUGAACGCUCAGGUACCGUACUGCCCACCGUGG
rnacentral:ncRNA from 2 species